GUCAAACGACCAAUCCAGACCCAAAUAUUUCAUCUAAGUACAUCUUAAAGGCUAAUAAACUCUGCUGACAACCUGCCUAUCCAUGACAAACCCUGAGUCUUUUCAUGGAUGAUUCAGUGGAAAUAUUCUCCCGUGGCCAGAGGCGUGGCUUGCCUGGGUCUCUGGGUGCAGCUGCACAGACUCAAGCAGCCUAAAGGAAAGGUGACUGACAGUUAAUGAUCUGAAAAGAACUUGUCUCAACUCAACGUCAUUCCUGGCAUUAUCGAACAAAGCAAUAAACCUCACAGAAUGGAAGCUACAGUGUCCAGGGCCAGCUCUGCUAAGGUAACCAAAGACAGAGAAAGAGGCAAAAGUGACAGAAGAAACCCAUGAGAAACCAACAGAAAUAUAAUGGCUUUGGUAGAAAUGCAAUUAUCAAUUGGGAGCUUAUGAUGAAUGUUUUCUCAGUAUCCUAUGCUGAAAACAGGUAGAUACUAAUAUCGAUCUUCAAGAGAGGGCUGUUAUGAGUAUUGAAUAAGACAAAAACAUGGAAGCAACCAGCACAAUGCCGGAAUCAAGGCUAUCUGUAAUCACAGGGCUAUUUGAAAAAAAGAAGAAAAGAUGUCUUGAAAUUCAACCAACAUGUUUCAAUUAUUUGCUCCUAAGAACAACAGAAGUUUCAACAUUCUGCCAACAGAGUAACUCCUGGAAGAUUGGCACAGAAGAAGGCACAAGGAGAGCCUUUAUAUAACCAAAGAUAUUUUUGGACCAUGAAUUCGGAAAUUCUCGGAGCCGCCCAUCAGUGCCUGAGCUUCAGUGAGUCCAUUUCCCAUGUCACCUACGGCAAAGGAGAAUCUGAGACUUCUGAAGAGUUUCUUGCUUCUUUCCUGUGGGGCAGUGACUCUACUUCCCAGCAGUAAUGGAAUAUCCUGAAUUAGCUACAUUAAUGUUAGAACAAUUUGGACCUCACCGAGGACUUCAACUACAUUAUGCUAAAGUUACAGAAUCCAUAUUUGGCAACUGUCUGCAUCUGAACAACAGAAGUUUCAACAUUCUGCCAACAGAGUAACUCCUGGACGACUGGCACAGAAGAAGGCACAAGGCAAAUACCCAUCUCUGUACACCCUGUGCUACUGUGUCAUGUGCUGCUCCAGGCAACUCCAAUGGAUUGGCCACCCUGGUCAAUGUGCCCUCCAAACACCAGCACUGAGUAGAAAGAGGCUCUGAUUCAUGAAAUGUGAAUUUAUGACAGUUGCCACUCUUAAAAAAAAAAAACAAACAGACAGAACUUGAGCAAUACAUGACGGAUGCAUUCUCAGCCUGCUUCCUGUGUUCCAUCUGUCUUUCUGCCAGUGCAUUCACCCUCCAGGUUUGAAAGUAGUCGGGUUCUAGCAUGUUAGGUUUAUGUUCCCCUGCUUUCUACAAUCCUGUUCAAAGAGUUGCUGACUUAACCACAGAAAGAAUUCCAGAACAUGAGACACAGAAUAAACUUGAGCAAUCAUAGUCCAUCCACUUCAUUUUCUCAUCGAAAACCAAAGGUCCAGUGAAGCUCUGGAACUCAACGCUGUAAAGGAGCGAAGGAGCAUCUAUACAGAGCCUGGAUGCCUGUCUCCUUAUCCUACUUCAGCGGACUUGACUGCAAUCUGGAUUAUGCUGUUUUCUAAGCAUUUAAAAUAAAAUAAAAAGUGUAAUAGUGUGAUAAGUUCUUUCACAAAGCAAAUAAUCACAUUUAUGUUUCUACUUAUAUUUGGGUUUUCCAAAUGUGUGUGUGUGUGUGUGUGUGUGUGUGUAUGUAGACUUUAAACAUGGUGCAUCCAUCAUGUUGCACUAAAUCAAAACCACCAAAUAAUGACGUAGAAC